GCUGAUGGUACACUGUCCCACUCUCUUUGAAAUUUCUGCAGGCUCAGCAAAACUUGUUACUGACACUGAAGUUACAACGUAAGCCACAUGUGUCCGAACAACAGAGUUCACACUGAAUUCCUGCUAUCUGGACUAUCAGACUCAGAAUGUAAUAGCAUCCAAGUUUCUUAUGAACAGUCAAUCUGCUCCUUCUUCAAGCCAUAAGAUGGGCACUCUAUAUUAACACUGUACUUGGUACUCAAGAAGGUUACUGAAGAACUCAUGAAGAAAGAAUGAAAGAAGUGAAUGCCUUAUAGUAGGCUCAAUCAUGUGACCUGUUUUAGUCCAUGAAUAUACCAGGAGAAAGUACACAACCAGAGGCUUUAAAAAUUACUUCAUUAUUUCUGCCUGCUUUGUGUACUUCUGCCAUGCCACAACAGACCCAAAGUGGUCUGCUAAAGACUACUGAAAAAGGUGAACAGUCUAGUUACUGUUGUCAUUCUAACUUAUGUCAACUUACAUCAGUCAGCUCAUCCCCAGACAUGAAGCAAAUUCAGUCAAGCUGCCUAGACAAUCCAGAGUUGAUUAUAUGAAAAAACAAGCUAAAAUAUGUAUUUAAAAAAAAAAAAAACUUGAAUGAAUCAGAGAUAAAUAAUUUACCUGGCGAAAAGUUAAAAGCAAUGGUCAUAAAGAUGUUCACUGAACUGGGAAGAAGAACAUAUGAACACAGGGAGAACUUCAACAAAGAAAUGAAAAAUAUAAGCAUAGCAAACAGAAGUCAUGGAGCUGAAAAACAUAAUAUCAGAAGUGAAAAAUAUACUAAAAGAGUUCAAAAGCACACUAAAUUAAGAAGAAUAAAAGAUCAGUUAACUCAAAGACAAGAUAGUAGAAUUCACCCAAUCAGAGCAGCAAAAAGGGAAAAGAAUGAAAAAGUGAAAAUAGCUUAAAGAAUUUAUGGGACAGCAUCAAACCGACUAAUAUUUACAUCAUACAGCUCCCAGGAAAGGAAUAAAGAUAGGUAAAAGCCUUAUUUGAAAAAAUAAAGGCUGAAAACAUCCUUAACAGGGAAGGAAACAAAUAUCCAGAUCUAGAAAGGCCAGAGACUUCCGAGCAAGGAGUCCAAAAAGACCCACACCAAGACACAUUACUAAAAUGCCAAGAGACAGACUAUUAAAAGCAGCAAGACAAGAACAACUUGUUACAUAUAAAGGAAACCUUGAUAAGCCUAUCAGCAGAUGUUUCAGCAAAAACUUUGCAGGCCAGAAGGGAGUGGAACAAUAUAUUCAAAGUGCUAAAAGAAAAAAACUUCCAAUUAAUAAUACUCUACCCAGAAAAGUUAUUAUUCAGAGUGAAGGCGAGAGAAAGAAUUUUCCAGACAAGCAAAAGUUAAAUUGUUUAUCACCACUAAGCUGGCCCUACAAGAAAUGUUAAAGGGACUUCUUUAAGCUGAAAAGAAAGACUGCUAAUUAGUAAUAAGAACACACAUGAAAGAAUAAACCUAAUAUACAUUAGAAAUAGUAGUGGAUUAAUUACUUAGAAAGCUAUCAGGAAGGCUGAAAAACAAAAAAACAAAAAACUAAGAUUACAAUAAUUGGCUACAAAAGCAGUUUCAAGAGGGAAGUUCAUAGCAAUAAAUGCCAACAUCAAAAAACAAAAGUCUCACAACAUCCAACUUGACAUGCAAGGAACUAGAAAAAGAACAAUCAAAGCUCAAAGCAAGCAGAAGAAAGGAAAUAACAAAGAUUACAGCAGAAAUAAGUUAAAUACAGACUAAAAAGACAACAAAAAAGAUCAAUGAAACCAACAGGUGGAUCAAAAGGUAAUCUUUCAAAAUUGACAAACCUCUAGCUAGACACACCAAAAGAA